rfam:Firmicutes bacterium CAG:102 genomic scaffold, scf117
GUGAACACAAAGGGGAGCUUGUCUUGCAGGCUGAGAGGAAGGAAAAGCCUUCGACCCAUAACCUGAUUUGGAUAAUGCCAACGUAGGGACGCUUGAAAAAGACGUAA